GAUGAACGCUAGCGGCAGGCCUAACACAUGCAAGUCGAGGGAGAGGUUACCUUCGGGUAACCAAAACCGGCGCACGGGUGCGUAACGCGUAUACAAUCUGCCUUUCACAUAGGGAUAGCCCGAAGAAAUUUGGAUUAAUACCUAAUGGUAUAUAAGAGCGGCAUCGUUUUUAUAUUAAAGCUACGGUGGUGAAAGAUGAGUAUGCGUUCUAUUAGCUAGUUGGAGAGGUAACGGCUCCCCAAGGCGACGAUAGAUAGGGGUUCUGAGAGGGAUGUCCCCCACACUGGUACUGAGAUAUGGACCAGACUCCUACGGGAGGCAGCAGUGAGGAAUAUUGGACAAUGGUCGGAAGACUGAUCCAGCCAUGCCGCGUGCAGGAUGAAGGUCCUAUGGAUUGUAAACUGCUUUUGGAAGGGAAGAAUAAGGAGUACGUGUACUUUGAUGACGGUACCUUACGAAUAAGCAUCGGCUAACUCCGUG
rnacentral:rRNA from 1 species